rnacentral:Y_RNA from 1 species
GGCUGGUCCGAUGGUAGUGGGUUAUCAGAACUUAUUAACAUUAGGGCCACUAAAGUUGGUAUUCAACCCCCCACUGCUAAAUUUGACUGGCUUAAA